UACAGAGGGUGCAAGCGUUAAUCGGAAUUAUUGGGCGUAAAGCGCUCGUAGGCGGUUUGUUAAGUUGGAUGUGAAAUCCCCGGGCUCAACCUGGGAACUGCAUCCAAAACUGGCAAGCUAGAGUAUGGUAGAGGGUGGUGGAAUUUCCUGUGUAGCGGUGAAAUGCGUAGAUAUAGGAAGGAACACCAGUGGCGAAGGCGACCACCUGGACUGAUACUGACACUGAGGUGCGAAAGCGUGGGGAACAAACAGG
rnacentral:rRNA from 1 species